GGCACCCCUGCCCUUGCCCUUUGCCUCCUGGGCAAAGUCACUGAAGCCUUGUGUCUCCAGGCUGGGCUCCUUACGGCAGAGGGGACACACUCAUGCCCUUUGUUCUGACAACGUCCAGAACUCCAGGCCAUGGCUGAGGCAACCAGGUGUGGACCCAGUGCUGUAGCAAUGGCCUGGGGCGUCUCUCGCCUCAGAGGCAAUCCAGAUCUGCUGGGGCUUUUUAAGGGAGCAAGUCCUGGCUCUGUGGGGCUCGCCUUGAGCUUAGUUCCUUAAAAUUGCAAAGUCACCAUGGAGUCAGAUUAGAAUGGAGCCCAUGUCACAUAUUGAGGGAAAUAUUUUCAUGCUUUUUCUCUCAUUAAAAGCAAUCUACUAAACUUGCAGGUGACUUUGUCUUUAAGCACACCACUCCUGUGAAGGAGAGACAUGGUCUCUUCAUUUUAUACCCUGUUGGCAGCCCUGAUAGGAGAGUCAAUGAUUUUUCCUCACUUAACCAGAACCACAGAGGGUUUUCUGAUGUGUCUGUCGUAUCCACCCAGCUAGGGUUCUCCUAUAUUGUGCUUAUGAAAUGGAUUUCUGGAAUCUAAUUUUAGAAUCUUCCAUUUACUCCUGCAAGCUUCACCUUGUUGAUCUCAGCUCAAUUUACUAUUUUUCACAUUUAUUUCCACUCAUGAUUUUGUUUUCUAUUUCAUAUGCGCUUUUAUAUUUGUUACUAGAAUGUUAGGUAAGUAUGUC
rnacentral:lncRNA from 10 species